GAUGAAGAACGUAGCGAAAUGCGAUACUUGGUGUGAAUUGCAGAAUCCCGUGAACCGUCGAGUCUUUGAACGCAAGUUGCGCCCGAAGCCAUUAGGCCGAGGGCACGCCUGCCUGGGCGUCACACGUCGUUGCCCCCCCAUCUACUCCUUCGGGAUUGCGGGGGGCGGAUGAUGGCCUCCCGUGCGCCUUGUCGCGCGGUUGGCAUAAAUGCCAAGUCCUCGGCGACGCACGCCACGACAAUCGGUGGUUGCGAAACCUCGGUUGCCCGUCGUGUGCGGUCGUCGCGCAUCGAGGGCUCGAAAAAAUUGUCGGGCUCCGGCUCGGCUUUCAACGCGACCCCAGGUCAGGCGGGGUUACCCGCUGAAUUUAAGCAUAUCAAUAAGCGGAGGA
rnacentral:misc_RNA from 1 species